rnacentral:rRNA from 1 species
UACGUAGGGUGCGAGCGUUAAUCGGAAUUACUGGGCGUAAAGCGUGCGCAGGCGGUUUUGUAAGCCAGAUGUGAAAUCCCCGGGCUUAACCUGGGAAUGGCAUUUGGGACUGCAAGGCUGGAGUGUGGCAGAGGAGACUGGAAUUCCUGGUGUAGCAGUGAAAUGCGUAGAUAUGUGGAGGAAUACCGAUGGCGAAGGCAGCCCCCUGGGAUAACACUGACGCUCAUGCACGAAAGCGUGGGGAGCAAACAGG